UAGUUUGAUCCUGGCCUCGAGGAUAGAACGCUAGCGGCAGGCUUAACACAUGCAAGUCGAACGAGACCUUCGGGUAUAGUGGCGCACGGGUGCGUAACACGUGGGAAUUUGCCUCGGGUAUGGAAUAACUCAGGGAAACUUGAGCUAAUACCAUAUAAUGUCUUCGGACCAAAGAUUUAUCGCCCUGAGNUAAGCCCGCGUAGGAUUAGCUAGUUGGUGAGGUAAAGGCUCACCAAGGCGACGAUCCUUAGCUGGUCUGAGAGGAUGAUCAGCCACACUGGGACUGAGACACGGCCCAGACUCCUACGGGAGGCAGCAGUGGGGGAAUAUUGGACAAUGGGCGAAAGCCUGAUCCAGCAAUGCCGCGUGAGUGAUGAAGGCCUUCGGGUUGUAAAGCUCUUUUACUCGGGACGAUAAUGACGGUACCGAGAGAAUAAGCCCCGGCUAACUCCGUG
rnacentral:rRNA from 1 species